rnacentral:lncRNA from 1 species
GUAAAUGGCGGUGUGGCUGAGCCACAGGGAAAAGAACAGGAUUUUAUCCAGGGGUAGAAAUCAAGAGUUCAGGGUUGGAUAUUGAAACUUUGAGGAGCCAAUUAGACAUUGAGUUGGAGAUGAUGAGCAGACAAUUUAGAGUUCAGAGAAGUCCAUAUAAACUCAGGAGUCAUCAUUAUACUGAUGCCACUAAAUGCUACAUUGUACUGAUGUAUAAAGCUAUGGGCUGGAUGAAGUCCCCUAGAGAAUGAAUGCAACUAGAGAAGAGAAGGAGUCAUGGGCCACGGGCUGAGCACUGGGACACACCAACAUUGAGAGGAUGAGCGAGAGGAGGCCUGCGAUGGAACUGGCAGGGAGAUCUUCCGUGACCUUGACAGUUUCAGUGGCGUUGAGGGUGUGAAAGCCGAUUGGAGUGGAUUGAGGAACCAGUGGGAAGCGAAGAAGUGGAGACGGGAGAGAGCAGAUCGACAACACUUUCAGGAAAUUUUGCUAUAAGAGCACAGAGCCAUGGCACAGGAAUAGGGGGACACGGAGCAGAGAAAUAGGGGUGCUGUUAUAGCUUGUUUCUAAGGCAAGGGGCAGAUCUGGUGGAGAAGAAGAUGGUGCUGUAGAAGAGAGUCAUUGAGGAGCCGAG